rnacentral:rRNA from 1 species
CCUACGGGUGGCUGCAGUGGGGAAUAUUGGACAAUGGGGGCAACCCUGAUCCAGCCAUGCCGCGUGUGUGAAGAAGGCCCUCGGGUUGUAAAGCACUUUCAGUGAGGAAGAACGCCUGGUGGUUAAUACCCAUCAGGAAAGACAUCACUCACAGAAGAAGCACCGGCUAACUCCGUGCCAGCAGCCGCGGUAAUACGGAGGGUGCGAGCGUUAAUCGGAAUUACUGGGCGUAAAGCGCGCGUAGGUGGCUUGAUAAGCCGGUUGUGAAAGCCCCGGGCUCAACCUGGGAACGGCAUCCGGAGCUGUCAAGCUAGAGUGCCGGAGAGGAAGGUAGAAUUCCCGGUGUAGCGGGGAAAUGCGUAGAGAUCGGGAGGAAUACCAGUGGCGAAGGCGGCCUUCUGGACUGACACUGACACUGAGGUGCGAAAGCGUGGGUAGCAAACAGGAAUAGAUACACGAGUAGUC